rnacentral:snRNA from 1 species
GGAUGUGAGGGCGAUCUGGCUGCGACAUCUGUCACCCCAUUGAUCGCCAGGGUUGAUUCGGCUGAUCAGGCUGGCUAGGCGGGUGUCCCCUUCCUCCCUCACCGCUCCAUGUGCGUCCCUCCCGAAGCUGCGCGCUCGGUCGAAGAGGACGACCUUCCCCGAUAGAGGAGAGGACCGGUCUUCGGUCAAGGGUAUACGAGUAGCUGCGCUCCCCUGCUAGAACCUCCAAACAAGCUCUCAAGAUACAUAUUUUUGAUGCAGAGAAGUGCACGUCCCUCUUUUCCUAAAA